CGGAACGGGUGAGUAACGCGUGAGGAGCCUGCCUCAAAGAGGGGGACAACAGUUGGAAACGACUGCUAAUACCGCAUAAGCCCACGGGUCGGCAUCGAUCUGAGGGAAAAGGAGUGAUCCGCUUUGAGAUGGCCUCGCGUCCGAUUAGCUAGUUGGUGAGGUAACGGCCCACCAAGGCGACGAUCGGUAGCCGGACUGAGAGGUUGAACGGCCACAUUGGGACUGAGACACGGCCCAG
rnacentral:rRNA from 1 species